rnacentral:tRNA from 1 species
UCCCUGGAGGACUAGUGGUUAGGCCACAGCGCUCUCACCACUAUGGCCCAGGUACGAUUCCCGGCCAGGGAA